rnacentral:rRNA from 1 species
UACGUAGGGACCAAGCGUUGUUCGGAUUUACUGGGCGUAAAGAGCUCGUAGGCGGCUUGGCAAGUCGGGUGUGAAAACUCCAGGCUCAACCUGGAGACGCCACCCGAUACUGCCAUGGCUAGAGUCCGGUAGGGGACCACGGAAUUCCUGGUGUAGCGGUGAAAUGCGCAGAUAUCAGGAGGAACACCGGUGGCGAAGGCGGUUCUCUGGGCAUUACCUGACGCUGAGGAGCGAAAGUGUGGGGAGCGAACAGG